ensembl:lncRNA
UAGAACUACAAGGCACAAAAACGGAAGCAUUCAUUCAUUCAGCAUUAACAGAGCUUUUGACUUGACGAAAUUGCUCUCACUUUUGAACAGGGAAAAAUGACCCAAUUCCACAGGCAUGAUACCUGCAGUGUGAAGGAUGUACAGUCUAUGGAGGCAGUUACUAGGCCUCUAAAUGAGGGAAUUGACUCUAUCUGUAACAUCAUCGAGUCCCUCAAGAAAGCACAUAUCAGUCCCAAUACUGACACGUGCUCCAGUUACAACCAGAUUAGGAAGCAUAUCGAGAAUGCUGAGCAGUGCCUGAAAACAUCAGAGACAAUGAUUAAAGAAAAACUGGGAUAUUUAGAUGAAAGCAUGGAGCAGCUUUUUAGAGAGAAACAAAAUGUUGAGCAGCAGAAAAAGGAGAAAAGUCUGGCAAUGGAUAAUUUGUGCAUAAAGAAGUCGUCAGCUGAGGAAUCAUUAGAGCAUUCCAAAGCAGCUUUGGAGCUGGCUAAAAGAAGUGUAGAAUCAGCAAAUUAUGCCAUAAGAGCACAUCAAGACAGAAUGAACACAUGUGAUGAUGUAGCAACUGCAGGGGCAGCACUGCUUGCAAUACCAAUUAUUGGAUGGAUUGCUGGUCCAAUAAUGAUAAGUGAGGGACAGCGGGGAUUUGAAGAAGCUUCAAAUGCCUUGAGAGAUGCUGAAUGGGAGAAACAAAACUGUGAGUCUAAAGUGAGGAACUGGACUGCAAAAGUGUUUCAUUACGAGGGAAUAAUCUCUAAGACACAGGCUGAACUUGAGCAGGCCAAUGAAGCACUGAAGAGGACUGAGAGGAAUAUUGAAGAGGUUCAAAAGCAUCUAACAGGCACAGCUGAAAUUCAGGCAGUGGUCAGGAGAACUGUGAACCUUCUGAGUGUUCUUAGUGGAAGAGUCACUGUACUGGAGAAACAAACACAGCGUUUCAUCCUCUGGCAGCCUGUAGUAAAGUCCAUGGAAGAUGUGAUGAUGGCAAUUGUAAAUAUUGCUGGGAAUCGGCUCCUCUAUAGUGAUGGUGCACCAGGCCCUAUAAAUACUUUGAGGGAGAAUAUUGGAGGAUUACUGGCUUUAUGCAACUCACCCAGUAAUUCUGAAAAUGACAGCUAUUACUGAUCAUUUCAAUGUCACCCACAUACAGUAGCAAAGGCUUAUGGAGAAAAGAGGAUAUUGGUGUUUUUAUAAACCACUCAAGUAACUCUUUAAUUUUUUUUUUUUUUUUUUUUUUUUUUUUUUUUUUUUUAGAUGUAGUGUUUAAUGGCUGUUUAACCAUACCUGACAAAACAGAGAAAAUCAAACACGAUUUCUGUUUUACAAAACCAUACUUGCAAUUAUGUUGUAAAUUCACAAAUAAAUUUACAACAAAUUCUGAUUUUAAUCA